CAGAUUUGUUGUGGCUCUCUCUUUUGCCUUCCUCUCUCUAUCUCAUAGGAAGGCAAAAGAGAGAGCCACAACAAAUCUGAU